ACGUAGGGGGCAAGCGUUGUCCGGAUUUACUGGGCGUAAAGAGCGUGUAGGCGGCCAAGCAGGUCUGUUGUGAAAACUGGAGGCUCAACCUCCAGACGUCGACAGAAACCGCGUGGCUAGAGUCCGGAAGAGGAGAGUGGAAUUCCUGGUGUAGCGGUGAAAUGCGCAGAUAUCAGGAAGAACACCAAUGGCGAAGGCAGCUCUCUGGGACGGUACUGACGCUGAGACGCGAAAGCGUGGGGAGCGAACAGGAUUAGAUACCCUGGUAGUCCACGCCGUAAACGAUGGGUGCUAGGUGUGGGGGGUGUCGACUCCCUCCGUGCCGCAGCUAACGCAUUAAGCACCCCGCCUGGGGAGUACGGCCGCAAGGCUA
rnacentral:rRNA from 1 species